rnacentral:rRNA from 1 species
CGCACUGCUCAGUAACACGUGGACAACCUGCCCUGAGGACUGGAAUAAUCCCGGGAAACUGGGGGUAAUUCCAGAUAUGUCAGAACUCCUGGAAUGGGUUCUGGCAGAAAGGCUCCGGCGCCUCAGGAUGGGUCUGCGGCCUAUCAGGGUAGUAGUGGGUGUAACGUACCUACUAGCCUACGACGGGUACGGGUUGUGAGAGCAAGAGCCCGGAGAUGGAUUCUGAGACAUGAAUCCAGGCCCUACGGGGUGCAGCAGGCGCGAAAACUUUACAAUGCGGGCAACCGCGAUAAGGGGACCUCGAGUGCUGGGUUACAAACCUGGCUGUUGGGCUGCCUAAAAAGCAGUCUAUAGCAAGGGCCGGGCAAGACCGGUGCCAGCCGCCGCGGUAACACCGGCGGCUCGAGUGGUAACCGCUAUUAUUGGGUCUAAAGGGUCUGUAGCCGGCCGACUAAGUCUCUUGGGAAAUCUGGCAUCUCAAGUGUCAGGCUGCCAGGGGAUACCGGUCGGCUUGGGACCGGGAGAGGUGAGAGGUACCUCGGGGGUAGGGGUGAAAUCUUGUAAUCCUCGAGGGAGCACCAGUGGCGAAGGCGUCUCACC